rnacentral:rRNA from 1 species
GACGGAGGAUGCAAGCGUUAUCCGGAAUUAUUGGGCGUAAAGCGUCCGCAGGUGGCUAGUCAAGUCUGCUGUCAAAGCGCGGAGCUUAACUUCGUAAAGGCAGUGGAAACUGAUUAGCUAGAGCAUGGUAGGGGUAGAGGGAAUUCCCGGUGUAGCGGUGAAAUGCGUAGAGAUCGGGGAAGAACACCAGUGGCGAAAGCGCUCUACUGGGCCAUGACUGACACUGAGGGACGAAAGCUAGGGGGAGCGAAAGGG